rnacentral:rRNA from 1 species
GGGGAAUAUUGGACUAUGGGCGCAAGCCUGAUCCAGCCAUGCCGCGUGGGUGAAGAAGGCCUUAGGGUUGUAAAGCCCUUUUGUUGGGAAAGAAAAGCAGCCGGCCAAUACCCGGUUGUUCUGACGGUACCCAAAGAAUAAGCACCGGCUAACUUCGUGCCAGCAGCCGCGGUAAUACGGAGGGUGCAAGCGUUAAUCGGAAUCACUGGGCGUAAAGCGCGCGUAGGCGGCUUUUUAAGUCGGACGUGAAAGCCCUCGGCUCAACCGGGGAAUUGCGUUCGAAACUGGGAGGCUUGAGUCCUGGAGAGGGUGGCGGAAUUCCGGGUGUAGGAGUGAAAUCCGUAGAUAUCCGGAGGAACACCGUUGGCGAAGGCGGCCACCUGGACAGGUACUGACGCUGAGGCGCGAAAGCGUGGGGAGCAAACA